GUCUAAAUGCUUCUUUCCAUGUGAAUUACAAUGAUAUUGGUCAUAACUUUAUCAUAACAUGUCCAGUAAUGGAGCACCUUUUCAACAGCCAUGCAUUGCAGCAAUACAUACUUCUAUGCACACAGGUGGUACUUAAAGAAAAUCUAGUUCUAACAUUAUUUAGGGAUGACGUGAGACUUGCCAUUUAUAUUUGUCUAAUGAAACAUGUUAUCAAAUUGAAGAAGUUGACUAUUUUCUUGACUUUAAAAUAUGCAGUAUAUACUUCUGCAUGAGGAAUAUCAGCUCUAUGUUCUACCCAGAAUUUUGGAAUCAAAGAGGACGGCAAAAUCUAGACGCACCAAGCAAAAAGAAGCAGAUUUGGAAUAUAGUGUUGCAAAGCAGGUUGAAAAAAUGAUUAGGUAUAUUGAGAUGAUUUCUUUGGAGCAAUUCUUGACACCAUUUGUAGUUGAAGCCUUUAGAAUGGAAGAAUGUAUUUCACUAAUUUUUGUAUACAUUUCUUGUUUUGUAUUUAGUGAUAAAGGAAUCUGAAUUGGGCAUAAAUUAUGUUGUAAUAUGAUUUCUUAAGCCUACACUAGUAAACUAAAUUUUGUAAUUACAUUUGAGUAAUUAAUAAAAAUCUAUUUACAUUA